AACGAACGCUGGCGGCAUGCCUAACACAUGCAAGUCGAACGAAGUCUUCGGACUUAGUGGCGCACGGGUGCGUAACGCGUGGGAAUCUGCCCUUGGGUGCGGAAUAACUUCUCGAAAGGGAUGCUAAUACCGCAUAAUGUCGUAAGACCAAAGAUUUAUCGCCCAGGGAUGAGCCCGCGUAAGAUUAGCUAGUUGGUGGGGUAAAAGCCUACCAAGGCGACGAUCUUUAGCUGGUCUGAGAGGAUGAUCAGCCACACUGGGACUGAGACACGGCCCAGACUCCUACGGGAGGCAGCAGUGGGGAAUAUUGGACAAUGGGCGAAAGCCUGAUCCAGCAAUGCCGCGUGAGUGAUGAAGGCCCUAGGGUUGUAAAGCUCUUUUACCAGGGAUGAUAAUGACAGUACCUGGAGAAUAAGCUCCGGCUAACUCCGUGCCAGCAGCCGCGGUAAU
rnacentral:rRNA from 1 species